rnacentral:rRNA from 1 species
CCUACGGGUGGCAGCAGUGAGGAAUUUUGGUCAAUGGACGCAAGUCUGAACCAGCCAUGCCGCGUGCAGGAAGACGGCUCUAUGAGUUGUAAACUGCUUUUGUACGAGGGUAAACGCAGAUACGCGUACCUGUCUGAAAGUAUCGUACGAAUAAGGACCGGCUAACUCCGUGCCAGCAGCCGCGGUAAUACGGAGGAUUCAAGCGUUAUCCGGAUUUAUUGGGUUUAAAGGGUGCGUAGGCGGUCGGAUAAGUUAGGGGUGAAAUCCCGAGGCUCAACUUCGGAAUUGCCUCUGAUACUGGUAGGCUAGAGAGUAGUUGCGGUAGGCGGAAUGUAUGGUGUAGCGGUGAAAUGCUUAGAGAUCAUACAGAACACCGAUUGCGAAGGCAGCAUACCAGGCUACUUCUGACGUUGAGGCACGAAAGCGUGGGGAGCAAACAGGAUUAGAUACCCCAGUAGUC